UACGAAGGGUGCAAGCGUUACUCGGAAUUACUGGGCGUAAAGCGUGCGUAGGUGGUUCGUUAAGUCUGAUGUGAAAGCCCUGGGCUCAACCUGGGAAUGGCAUUGGAAACUGGCGACCUAGAGUGCGGUAGAGGUUAGUGGAAUUCCCGGUGUAGCAGUGAAAUGCGUAGAGAUCGGGAGGAACAUCCGUGGCGAAGGCGACUACCUGGACCAGCACUGACACUGAGGCACGAAAGCGUGGGGAGCAAACAGG
rnacentral:rRNA from 1 species